ACAGACCACUUCUUCCCCCAAAUCCACGAACCCUAACCCAUUGCAGCCGCCGCCGCCCCAAGCAUCAGAUCCCAUAGCCGCCGCCGCCGCCCCCAACCGCCGCCGCCGCCGUAGCCCCCAACCGCCGCCGCCGCCGUCCCCAACCGCUGCCGUCGCCGCCGUCCCCAACCGCUGCCGCCGCCGUCCCAAACCACCGCCGCCGCCGUCCCCAACCACCGCCGGCGCCAUAGCCCCCAUCCCACUACGGCGACCUCUACCUGGAGCACGCCGUCGCCCCACACCAUCGCAACUCCUCCGUCGCCCCAAUGACACCCCACUGCCGUGCCCUCCACCAGGACCCCCACGAGCACCCAAAAAAGUCAAGCUCGGGCCAUCGCCCCCAAGCACUUCGCCGGCAACCAUCGCUUCAGAGCCGUGCCAUCAACCCCAAGCACUCAGCCAGCGACCAUACUCCUCCGCCGUCGUCCCUCACCACCAUCCUCCUCUGCAGAUCUCCUCCCCCGAGCAGGCCCUCCGCACAAGCUCAACCGAGCACCAAGGAGGUCCUCAAGUGGCACCGCCUCCUUAUUGAGCUCCUCUGGCAGCUGCACCUUCUCCAUCGGUCACACCUCCACUAGAGAUUGGCAAGGCACCUCCAGAAUGUUGUCUCCUCUAGGCAGCGCCUCAUCGACCUCCUUGCCUGAAGCAGUGCUGCCUCACCUCUACUUCCUUGCCCGAGUAGUGCCAUGUAGGUCCUUUGCUUCAUCGCCAGAGCAGCACCACAUCCUCUGCUUUUUAAUCAACGGCAAUUAUAGUGAAACUGGUCAAGAAUGGACAAGAAUUGGAUGGAUAAAGCUAGAAACACACAAGCAUAUAUUGACGGGGAUAUCGACAUGAAGAUGGACAUCAAGGUGGAUGUGGACAUGAAGGGGAAUAUGGGGGUGGAUAUGAAGCAUUUGGAAGUGGACAAGCCCAUGGCGAAAGCAGGAAUGCAACCACAAGCAAGCUGAGGACGUAAUAUCCAUGUUUCCAAGAAUUUUUCAUGCCCACAACUCUGUAAAUAUUUCCUAUAGUACAGUACUGAAGUUUACAAAAUAUUUUUCCUGGUUGCGCACCUUCUACAAAAUAUUUCCUACAGGAAAUAGUACAAUAUUGAUGUUUUUCAGUACUAUAAAUGUAUUUCAGUAUUGUACUAUAGGAAAUAUUUCAGUACUUACGAUUCUAAAUGACAACCAGAUUCUAAACUCCACUACUGUACAGUACUGAAGCAACUUGUACUCUGGAAAGUACCGAAGUUUACAAAAUGAAAAUUUUCAUGCCCUCAACUCUGUAAAGUACUGAUUUUUGGCAGAUUCUAAUUUGUUAAUAUCUAGCUAUACUGGCAGCUCCUUGCUCUUCCUACUCUGGCAAAUUUUGCCUGGUUGCGUUGUUUUUCGCCGUGACAAAACAGAUUCUUUAUGAUGGGUAUUGCUGCUGCAUUUCCUGAAGUAUUUGGAUUGACGUGUCCCCGCCCCUGCCUAUUUGUACUGCUCAGUGUACUAUGUUUCACUAUAGAUGUUGACGGAGAUUAGGAAGAUCUUGAAGCCGCUGAUGAUUUGGAAAACCUAUGAUUAAGUUGCUGAGUGAUUAUGUAAUAUGCUAUGUUUGUUGAACCUGGACACUUGCUGUCUUGCUCUGCUCAUUUGCUGGUUAAGCCACUAUAUGCUCAUUUUGGUUGUGUGGCACCCCCAUAAACAUAUGUACUUUCUCCUUUUGUGGCAAUACUUCAGUUUGGUUGUGGCACAUUUAACAUGUAUGUAAUGUACCUUUUGUGGCAGAACCUCCUUAUAUAUAUGUGGAUAUUAUGUUUAUCUGAUGAUGUUUAAGGUUUUC